rnacentral:lncRNA from 1 species
AUUAAUUGGAGUUAUUAGGAAUUUGGGGGGAGUUAAGUGUAAUUAGGAGGGAGUUACUCUUAAGUGGGAAGUUAAGAAAAUAGAAAGUGGGAGUCAGAAACAGUUUUACGUGAAACCAAGCCAAGGAAGAGAAAACCAGGAGCAAGAGAGAAGAACCAGAGGAACCCUUUUUGCUGUGCAUUUUUCAUUCUGAAUUAAGGUAAGGGUGGGGUUUACUUCAAUGGUGUAGAAUUUAAAGUCUG